UUUUUUUUUUUUUUUUUUUUUUAAGCAGGUGGUUUUGUUUUGUUUGGUUUUGUUCUUCUGUUUUUGCGGUUUUUUUUUUUAUCCUUAAUAAGCAGUGGGGGUUGGAGCAUCUAAAUCAGGACUCUUUGUAAAUAAUAGAAAAACACUUGGUGAUGUAACUUAAAGCAAAGGAGAAUCAGGGGAUGAGGAGAACUGGGCUCCAGAGGUGCCUCUGGGAACUUGGGGAACCUGAGUCUGAUACAGGCUUGGAGCUGUGAGCUGGAACUCCCUGGCUGGGACCCAGGAAGCCACCCAGCUCCCAACUCCGGGGAUGCUGGUAUGGACCAAAGCUCCCUCUGUGCACCUGCUCCAUGUCCACUCUGUUCCUAUGUGCAUCUGUGAGAGAGGAUAUGUGCACAUGUACAGUACAUACACCCAGGCUCACGCGUCCAUGGGGAAGCCAGAGGCUGACAUCAGAUGUCUUGGUUGCUCUCUACUUUCUGAGACAGGGUCUCUCACUGACUAUAGGACUUGUCACUUUGUUUAGUCUGGCAUCUGUCUGUCUCUGCCACCCCAGCACACCCUUUUAUUCCAAGGGCCAGGCAGACCUGAAUUCAAGUCCCAAACCCGGCCUUGGCCCAGACCCUUAUCCCCACAGAGCUGUUGCCUCUAGUGAUGUGAAGCCAGAGGCCACUUGUCAUUUGCUCAUUUGCAUAUGUUAGAGGACAGGAAAUAAGUACUUUGCACAUGGACAGUCACGUGAUGGACUCUUCAAGGAAGAGGAGCUACAGCUACCACUGCUGCCAUGGUGAUCACUGUCAGGAUAAUAAUAGAACCAUCUCCACCAGCUGGGGGGGGGGGGUCCUUUACUGGCAAGACUGAGGUGGACAAAACCCAUCACUAUUACAGCCUCAUGGGAGUCCCAAGGGUCCAUUUCCCUGACUGUUAGUGAGAUGGGAGAGGUUGAUAAUGCCUCCCUCACAGCAUCACAAUAGGGACCAAAUGUAAUAACAGAGUCUGGCACGAAAGUGCUCAAUAAACCAUCCAAGUGCCCGGGACCUUGGCCAUGGAGGUCCAGAGAGUGCCCAGUGAAUGGAGAAAGGAAGAGGAAAUCAAUGAUACUUCCACCCAAGGUGAUAAAUCACUGCUCUGCUUAGAAUCCUCCACAGGCCGGGGACUGGAAGGAAGCCCUUGCUGCAAGUUUAUUCCUCUGCUCUUUGGCUGACGGCUCUCCUGGUUCACCUGGAGAGUACACCGGGCCAAGAACUGAGUUUUGCUUGUGAUUCCCUCCUAUGGACCUAUGUAGCAGGGAGCACACAGAAAGCAUUACAAAAAUGCUGAAUGAAUGAAUGAAUGAAUGAAUGAACAAACGAGUGAGCAGACAGGGUGCUGCAGGCAAGAGAACAUGCCUGAAAGAAUCCCUGUGUUCUUGAUAAACGCUCUACAUUGUGGCUGCUCACUGCCCAGAAUCUUGACUGAACACCAGGCAGAAGGGAGGCGGCCAAGGGUGGUCUUUGACUCCUCGGCCGCUGAUGAGGCUAAACCAUCCCCCAGAUUGGAGUAGCCAGUGCAGGAGAGUUUUAGAGGUGGGCACACUUUGAAAUCAGAGAGAAGCCCCGAACUUUGGCAUUCUAGCCCGGAGGGCAGUGUGGUCCACGUUGGUGCUGCAGCCAUCAGACGGGAAGGGGAACAUGACGCAUUCGCUCAGAGGCAGAGCAGACUAGAAAGCGCUGGCUCCCUGACCUCAGCCAAGAUGCUCAACCCAUCUCUGUCAGACACCCAGUCUGCCAUGUCACUGUGGGGCCAGGGUUGGUGUGUGUGGCAUCUUCUGUGGCCUGUCUUGGCCUUCAGCUCAUGAUGCUGGGAAUAGAGAGAUCUUCUUGAAAGCUUUUUGUGAACCCUGCUUUUCCUCAGGGAUUGAAUGGCAUUGGAAUCUCAGAGCUAGCAAGUUCCCCCAGGCUCCUGAAUAGGAAGGCUUUAAGAAACAGAGCUCAGAAAGUAAUGCUAACUUUCAGUGCAGAGUCCAUUCACUCACUCACUCACUCACUCACUCACUCACUCACUCACUCGCUCAUAGAACCAGAUAGAACCAGUACAGGCUAAGGAUUCAUGAUGCUUCCAAGCAUGUUCAAGGUGCAGGAUUAACUUCCUAGGCAAGUAAGAUGGAGACAAGAGUCAAAUGAAUUAAUUCAUUUUAUUGUUUCUAUCAAUAGUUUGUUCCUUUUUGUCUCCUGCCUAGUAUUCCACUACCUAGAUAUGCCAUAGUUUGUUCAUCCACUAAUCCAUGAAACAAACACUUGGGUUGUUUUAGUUUGGACCUGUCAUAAAUAAAGCAUCCAUAUGUAAUUCC
rnacentral:lncRNA from 1 species